rnacentral:rRNA from 1 species
CUGUACUUGGUGUUACUGCGAAGGGGGGACGGAGAAGGCUAUGUUGGCCGGGCGACGGUUGUCCCGGUUUAAGCGUGUAGGCUGGUUUUCCAGGCAAAUCCGGAAAACCAAGGCUGAGGCGUGAUGACGAGGCACUACGGUGCUGAAGCGACAAAUGCCCUGCUUCCAGGAAAAGCCUCUAAGCAUCAGGUAACAUCAAAUCGUACCCCAAACCGACACAGGUGGUCAGGUAGAGAAUACCAAGGCGCUUGAGAGAACUCGGGUGAAGGAACUAGGCAAAAUGGUGCCGUAACUUCGGGAGAAGGCACGCUGAUAUGUAGGUGAAGCGACUUGCUCGUGGAGCUGAAAUCAGUCGAAGAUACCAGCUGGCUGCAACUGUUUAUUAAAAACACAGCA